rnacentral:misc_RNA from 1 species
CGCACAUUGCGCCCGCUAGUAUUCUGGCGGGCAUGCCUGUCUGAGCGUCAUUUCAACCCUCACGCCCCUAGGGCGUGGUGUUGGGGAUCGGCCAGCGCCCGCGAGGGCGAGGCCGCCCCCUAAAUCUAGUGGCGGACCCGUCGUGGCCUCCCCUGCGAAGUAGUGAUAUUCCGCAUAGGAGAGCGACGAGCCCCUGCCGUUAAACCCCCAACUUUCUCAGGUUGACCUCAGAUCAGGUAGGAAUACCCGCUGAACUUAA